rnacentral:rRNA from 1 species
AACGAACGCUGGCGGCAUGCCUAACACAUGCCAGUCGAACGAAGGCUUCGGCCUUAGUGGCGCACGGGUGCGUAACGCGUGGGAAUCUGCCCUUUGGUUCGGAAUAACAGCUGGAAACGGCUGCUAAUACCGGAUGAUGACGAAAGUCCAAAGAUUUAUCGCCAGAGGAUGAGCCCGCGUUGGAUUAGGUAGUUGGUGGGGUAAAGGCCUACCAAGUCGACGAUCCAUAGCUGGUCUGAGAGGAUGAUCAGCCACACUGGGACUGAGACACGGCCCAGACUCCUACGGGAGGCAGCAGUGGGGAAUAUUGGACAACGGGCGCAAGCCUGAUCCAGCAAUGCCGCGUGAGUGAUGAAGGCCCUAGGGUUGUAAAGCUCUUUUACCCGGGAAGAUAAUGACUGUACCGGGAGAAUAAGCCCCGGCUAACUCCGUG